GCCGGGCGUGGUGGCGCGUGCCUGUAGUCCCAGCUACUCGGGAGGCUGAGGCAGGAGAAUCACUUGAACUCGGGAGGUGGAGGUUGCAGUGAGCCGAGAUCGCGCCACUGCACUCCAGCCUGGCCACAGAGNNNNNNNNNNCAGAGCCGGGACUCCAUCUCAAAAAAAAAAAAAAAACAAGCAGGAGUGCAGGGGCGUGAUCUUGGCUCACUGCAACUUCCGCCUCCCGGGUUCAAGCGAUUCUCCUGCCUCAG
rnacentral:SRP_RNA from 1 species